AUGGGUUCCAUCCAUAGGGUUGGCCUCAUUGAUCAGCGUUACAGGAAGGCUUCGAGGUGGCUCCCUGUGACCGUGUUGUGAGCAAACCAUUCCUGGCAUCCCACCUUGCAGAACUUGUGGAGAAGAAACAAAAAUAACCCAUAAUCCCACUGUUUUGAUGCCACUUACUGAUAUUUGAAAAGAGGUAAAAAUAAAAUAUGAAGACAGAAAAUCCCAUCAUGUAUCCAAAGGCAUGAAUGAAAAGAAAGAGCCUUCUACCAGGACCUCCUGCACCACCCAAGAGUGCCAUUUUCUCAGGGGCUGAGAAGAGCCCCUCCAACAGGGCAGUGACCCGCUUGCCACAACCCACCUUGGCAAAAGCAGUGGAUAUGCCCCAGGACUCCAGGAAGCAGUGUGGCCUCAGAGAGCUUGGUGAGAAAUGUGUGUGGGAAGCAAAGGGCAGCUGAUGACUCACUGCAUGCCCUUAACUCAGUCUCUUCGACUCCUGAAGCCUCAGUUUCCC
rnacentral:lncRNA from 10 species